CAUACCUCAUUAAUUUUCUAUUUUCUCUACUGGAUACUUUUUCUGCAGAGGGUGUUGUUUCAGAAAGAUCCAAAUAAUUGAAUGUCUGUUUAUCAGGUUUUCUCAUGUUUUUUUUCAUUCUGACUUUCAGACUGCUGUGAACAGUGAAUAUUUUGGAAUGAGGUGAACCGCUAAUUGACAGCUUUCCCCAAUUAGACUUGGAAAGUGUAUGCAAAAAGAAUAAAAUAGCAACCCAAAUUCAGACUAUAAAUAGUUCAGUCAGAGGAACAGAUCCUGAGUGAAGCUUGACCUCCCAGCCUGGAGCAAAAGCUGUUUCCCCUGCCCUGAUGACUUGCUUGUGGAGCUGGGGUUUGGACAUGGUUUGUCACUACAUUGGAGGAUCCAUUUAAACGAGUAUGCAUUAUUAAGCACUGCACUUCUUUUUCCUCAAAACACAUUCCCAGUGGCUGGGAAAUGGGAAGCAGCUGGGAAAUCUUGGGAAGCAGCUGCUUCUCUGGCACCUGCAGGAAUUUUUUACUGUCCGCCUACAGCAUGUGGUGGCAGGCGGGGAGGAAAAUCAGGAGGGGAUCAGGUCUGUUAAAUCACUAUUUCAAUACGAAAGGUCUUUUUCCUCUGAGGCUGUAAAAUCAAGGAGAGGAAUGGGAGUUGGGAAAAGUGAAACGUUUUGCCCCAAGGAAGGGACUAACUUGUGAGUUUGCAAACUGGUUUCUGCUGAUCUGCUGCACUGCAGUUGUUUUGUCACCAGGAAUGUAGACCCUGGUUUCAUCUGGGAAUCCCAAGGAGGGCUAUCAGAUGGGUGGGUGUGUGGAUGAAGUGAACAAAACACGGAAAGGACCUGUGUGCCCAGUGGCAGGAGCAAAGGCAUUGGGCACAAAAUGAAACACAGGAGGGUCCCUCUGAACAUCAGGGAACACUUUGUCACUGUGUGGAUGGCCGAGCACUGGCACAGGUUGCCCAGAAAGGUUGUGGAGUCUCGUCCUUGGUUGGACCAGGUGUUCUUCAGUGGGUCAGCCCUAGGGCACACUGACUUUACCUAGCCUUGGGCAAAGUGAAGUCGGGAGGAAAGAUAACUCCCAGCUUUUGUUAGGAUGGCAGCUUCUGACAUCCGAGGCUUUCCAAUAAAAAUGAGGGAAGAAAAUGCACAAAUUUUAGUGGCUAUAAACAUUAACUGUCAGACAGAUAACUUCCAGAAAGGAGCCAGCUGGGUGUCAACUGGCCUGUGGGCCUCAGGCUCUCCAGGAGGGAGUUUCACCAGGACUCAGAGUUCUGGGUAGCCCAGCAGCGCAGGGGGCCCUGGAGCCCCUGCCCUCAGCCUGCUCCAGGUCAGAGCCCAGCCUGCUCCAGUAAAAGAAGAGGAUCAGGUUUUUUUCACUAGUAUGGUCUGUCAGCAGAGGGAAUUGUUGGGAUGUCCAUCAGUCCCUUCGUAUCUGACCAGGAAAUGGGUGGCACCUGCCCCAUGAGUCAGGAGGAAGGAGCCAGCUCUGGCCCAGAGCCCUCCCCAAAGGCAAACUUGCCUUCUUCCACCCUCAGGACCAAGGCAUGGGCUUCUCCAAACCAAAACCUAUUAAUCAAUAUCGUGCAUAGCACAGGUUAUGACGACUUCCUACUGGAAAGGGGAGAGCAGUGUCCCAGAGGGAAUGCAGCCAGGCUCCUGGACUGUGCCUGGCCUCUGCUGCAGUUUCCCAGUGCUCUGGAUGACCUCAACCCUCUGUCCAUCUCCUUAGCCUCUCUUCCUUCCGCUGAUAGGAUGCUAAUUGGUGGUGAGAUUUUUCCAGUUGAGCACAGACAGGAUUGUGCCUUAGUCAUCUGAGCAAGAUCCCUUCCUCCCUUUAAAGUUUUUCCAGGCUUAAUUCGACUUUGUAUCAGUAGGAAAUGACAAGUCAUGUCACUGUUUUCUUUCCAAGUGUUUCAUACUACACUCUACCUGGACACACAGCAUCUCAGUGGGGAAGCACAAUGAACCCAUGAAGUAUUACCAAUAGGAAGUGACAUUUUUCCUCCUUUUGUUCAGUAAAUUCCCUGUGGGCUGCAGCUAAAAUAUUGGAGACGUUUUUAAGACAGGAAGGCUGUUGUGGUUUCAGCUUAGAUACAUUACUGAUUUCAUUUUCUGUCCGACUGAAACCAAAUCUGUCUAGUCUAACAAUUUUCAAGUGACGAUUGCGAACUGAUAAAAAAUCCUGAGAACAUGACCUGUGUUCAAGUGCUGGCUCUAGCCCUGCUUUAGGAUCAGAAAAAUGAACCCAAUGUUUCCCUUAAGUGUUCUUAGCAUGUGGCAAAGUCAGGAGUUUUUUAUGAAAGCAGCAGCCAUUUUGGAGCUUGUCCUUCACAGAUUUGCCAGCACAGAUAGCAGCCGGAGCACAUCUCAGGCGGGUCUGUUCUGAUGGUUGAAUGCAUCUGCUUAAAUAUUUUCCACCUUUUUUGAUAUUCCUAAACAUGGAUUUGGCAGUUGAUCCCAAAUUACAGUGAAAAGUAAUCUGUAGCAUAAAUUAAAAAUGUAGAGUGUUUUUCACAGAAGGAUUUAUAGACAGUCAAGGAUAUGAAACCCUCUUUUUAUUGCAUAUAUUUCUUUUUGUUUUACAAAUAUUAUAUUCACUGAUACAAAUGUUCCUUCACAGAAGGUACAUUGUUGUUUUUUUUUUUUUUUUAAAGGGAUAGGGUGUCAUCCAAAAUAAGCCAUUUAUUGUUCAUUAAUAUAAAAUGUAUUCAUAUUUCUAGGAGGUGUCAUAUCCAAACCACUGUUCAUCCAAAUUUCCUGUAUGAUCUGCUCCCUGCGUUCAAUCCUUUCGGCCAGUUCUGCUGCCUCUGCUGAGUUAUAACCUGUGUAAGAAGGUGCAUACGAAGGCUGCAGGAAGAGUCCUGUUGAGCUCCAAACAGAUGCCCAAUAUAAGGUCUCGAUGUACCAUUCAGGAUGUCUUGGAAACAAUAAGCACAUCCAAAUCGCUCUCUAUCUAUUCCAUCUCAAAUCAAGAGAGAAGAAAUGCUGUUUCCAAGUCUGUCUCUCAGCCCUGGGUUACUGAGAUGAGUCGACCGGACACCCAAGUUCAGUUCAAGUCAGGUGAGAUCAAUUUUUAUGUGCUGCAACAGCUUAGGCUGCGGGGAAGUUCAGGGUAUUAAAAAGCAGCUUUUGAUUUACAGUGAAGAGGUCAAAAUGGGCUCAGUAUUUAACCAGGGAAACAUGUGGCUUCCAAAAAUGGGUUUUGCAUUGGAGGUGAAAUUAUUUGACUGGGAAAGUGUGUGAGUCACAUUCUGCUUUAAAAAAAAAGAACGUCUCUAAAUGUGAUUAAGUUCUCUGUAUCCACAUGUGCUAAACUCCAAGCCACAAAGCAAGAAACACCCUGUAGUUUUGGUUUCUGAAUAGAAAGGAUGCAGAAUGGACAAGUCUGGAUCAAGUAAUACUUCUCUGAAUCUUUCUGCAUCACUGCACACACUGUGGCUUCCUAUGUAGGACAGAUAUGUCUCACUCCAGGCUUCUGAGGCGAGGGCGCUGUAGAGGUCUGAAACAUAUUUCUCGGGACAUUAACACAGUCCCUCUUCCUGCAAUAAAGCAUGGCACCCAGUCAGCUGCCAACUGCUGAAGCUCAUUUGUGCCUCUUUAGAGGAAGGACAAACACUGUUUGCAAAGACACUCCAAAGGUUCCCCAAAUCUGUUUGGAAAGAAGAGAAGGUUUGAGACUGAGUUCUUGACAUUUAAUGUGUGAAAAUGGGGCAGAUUUGUGGUUUUUAGAGUUAACUCCCUGAAUAAGCACUGAGUAAGUCAUAUACCUGGGCAGAGUCAUCAGGAGAUAUUGGGCUCAUCCGUCUGGCAAAGGGCUCGUGAGUUACUUUGGACAUGGAUUUUAGGAGACAGCUCUUCCUCUGACCUUUCAGAGACCUAAAAUCCCCGUACCUGUGUGUCCCAAGAGACUGCUGGAAGGCAGGGAAGAGCUGACCUAAAGCAGUGGGUAGUUCUGAUUAAGUAACUCAGCAGUUUUAGUUUCCCUCCCUGGCAAUUUCAGAUAAGUAAAGAUAUAUUUAGAUGGACGUUUUAGGCAGCCAAUAGCUUACUUUGGCAAGUACAAAACCAACUGGAGAAUAUCAGGAGGAAUUACCGGGUGACUCAUGAAUGAAUGGAUUGGGAGCACAGCAGCAAACUGAAUUAUGUUUUCUACAGAAUUUUCUUUUAUAAGGCUCGUGCCUUAUAAAAACAGGAGGAUGCUGUGCUGAUGGUUUUCUACAUAUUCAGUGAUAUGGCAAGUGUGUGUUUCAUUUCAGCUUUGGUAGGCAUUUGCUCAUGUUUCUGUGGGACUUAAUAGCUUCUUAUCAUCUCUAUCCAUGUUGGAUUUGGCUCCUGUACCAGUCAUUAUAUGCCUGCAGGUUCUUGGCAGGCCAGUUUUUGGAGAACCUCCCAGGGCUUGCCUGGUGUCAUAGGUGAGUGAAUGCAAACUGUGGCUGGUUUCUUCUGCAGGACAGGACAGACGUUACCUGGAAAGACUUACAACAUUAAAAAAACCUAUUUAAAACUUCCUGCGUUCUAAAAAGAUUUUGGGUUCUAUUGAUUCAAUCCAAAAUCCUGUCUGGUUUAUAUGCAUCCUUGCUACCUUCCCAGUAGUUCUCCCAGCAGCUAUGAUGGGAAUAACUUGAAUAACUUCCCCUCCUCCUGGUGAAACACCUUAUUCCAGUGACUGAAUGAGGAGAGGUCAGUGCUGUGUUUGGAGUAAAGGAAUUCCAUGGAAUGGCCCCAGAGAAACCAUUAAUUGGGAGAUGAACAUAAAUAUGCAAUGUGGCUUCUUUCUGGCUAAGUGCUGUUCGAUCUACACAGAUAUCCCUGGGGCUUGUUAGACUGGUACCGUACGUUUUCAAUAACCUGCUUCUGGAAAGGCACAUUCCCAGAGUGCUAAAAGGCUGGUGGCAUCCAGCGGUGGUGGACAAGGCAGCAAUGUGUGGCUGGGAAAACACUCCAUUCUCCAUGCCUUUCUCCCGAAGUUGGUUGUUACACACCAAGAGUGUCGGUGGAUCUUUUGUACCAGACACUGCUAUGGAUGGCACAGGGACACGGGUGUCAAGACGAGGUUCUUAAUGCAGUAAUAAACUAUCCAAUCUGACUGCAGCUAUUUAACAGUUGGAGUACAAAGCCUUGUUUCUGCAGGAAAGGCUCUUUCAGCUCCCUAAUUAGCUUUGUUUGGGAAAGUUUUGGCAUGCAAAUGACAUGCCAUAAAUCAUGCAGGCUUUAAUGAGAAGUAAUUUGUCUUCUGGUUUCUUAAAGCUUCUCUCAAUUCAGACAGGAGGAGCUUUCCCUCCCUUUCUUUCCACCCUGCCACACAAGACCUGCAGGUGAUGGAGCAUCUUGUGCCAGGCCCCAGGGACAGCAUCCUGUCCCACCCUCUCCAAACGUUUCCAACUGCUUUCAUCCCCAACUGCUCCUUAUGCCGCUUUAUGUGUCCUGGGCUGUGUCCACCCACAGAAGAAUAAGGAGCUCGCUUUUAAAAUCAAAGCAAAGAAAUGCUUUGGUUUUAAGCUGAAAGCAAAGAUUUCACACCUUCAAAUCAGGAUGCCUUGUGCUUUGUGGAGCCCAAAUAUCAGCUGUGGGGACAAGAACUGACAGGGGGAAGCUAUGGAGUUCAGAGCAAGCUAAGGCUGCAGGAUCCUAAAGAAAGUUGCUGAAAUAAUAUGGUAAUUUAUGCAAGAGCACGGCACGCAAGGUCCCGCCUAUGCAUCAGAAAAGGGCCACUUGAGCUGCUGAUUCCAGCAGAAACACACAAUGUGAUCAGCAGCACUUUUGUACCAAAAAAAACCCCACCAAACUUGGUCUCUCUUUCCUCCUUGCACAUGCAUGUGCAGUGUGGGGGAUCCAUCGCACCAAACACCAAGGGCAAGAGACAAGUGGGGCUCUCCGCUUCCUGGCAGCAGGAGCCGGACUCCUUGCUCCUGCAUGUGCACAUGCAGGAGUUCCUUGGCUCCUUUUAGACUUGGGGGCCAGGUGUACUUUUCCAAACCUUUCACAAAUUUGAGCCAUGAAAAAAUAGACCCAAGAAACUCCUGAUCUACUGGUAAAGAAAACAUUACUGGAUGAAGUGAUGUGUGUCUCAGAGUGCUCCAAGCAACUUCCACCAGACAAAUCUGAUCUUCCCUGUUCAUCUCAGAAGAAAGUUACUUGGACUCUAAAAAUGGUGGCUGGUCUUUUUUUCCCUUCAGUCGCUCCUCAUCCUGCCACUGCUCUGAAAACCUCUUCUUUUAAGGGGGUUUUCCCUUGACAACGUUUGCUGGGGCCAAGGGGUGCAAUGGCUCCUACUGGCACCUCUUGAGGCCCAAAGCACCUACUAAGCUUCUCAGUUUUCUCAGGCUGACACAGGCAAGGACCUUUUCAUAUCUGGUGUCUGCACACAGAGAGAGCUGACUUAAGGGGUUUUGUGGUGGAAGGAAAACGGAACUAUUUUAUCCUUACUUUUGCAUCCACAAAAUUGAUUUGACUCCCGUCUCCCACACCCAAAGUGCCAAUGCAGUGAGGAAACAUUUCCAGAUCUGCCUACAGCUGCUUGUGCCUUCACUGCUGUUACUUAUGAUCUCAAGAGACAUUCCCAAGGGACUGGCUCACACCAGGCAGAGAGUACAUCUCUUAGUAAGAGACAGAAACCAAAAGCUUUUCAGUCAGUGAAUAAGAGAUGUAAGGCCCUUUGAAUUGGCUACAAUAUCCAAACAAACAAACAAACAAAAACAAAUAAAAAAGAAUCACAGCAUCAUAGAAUCCUGUUACAUUAAAAAAAUCAUGACACCUAGUUGGACUGGAAGGAAGCUACAGGAUGUUGAAAAUCCCUCUUGCUUGACUUGCUCACCCUUUCCUCUUAGCUGAAUUCCACUGGGAAGAGGAGACUAUGACAAAGCCUAACCCCAGGGUAUGUCAUGGCACAGUGCAAGCUGUGAUGAGAGUUGGUGAAUUCUCCACCUCCCCUCUCAACCCUCCAAAAGUGGGGCCAGAUAAAAGGGCUGCACUGGAAGGAACCCCACCUUCCAGCAAUGAGAACCAUGGCAGGGGUGUAAUUCAGGGCUGUGUUGGUCCCUGGUGCUUGAGGAAAUGCGCAGCUGACCAGGCAAUGUGCAUCCAGAGGAAUUUCUGGGAAGGAUAUUGCAGUGUUCUAGCUUGCAAGUUGAACCUAGGGGCAACCCACUACCAAGGCUUCUUUCAAGUAUUUUCAUGUAUUAACAAGAGUAAUUUAUUAUUUGAGAGGUGUUUGUUGAGCUGAAUCUUCCUGGUCCUCUCUAUGGUAACCUGUUCUGGCACAAUUCUUUAACAACUUCUGGCCAAUAAAUUUUCUAUUUCCUCAUGCACAUGUUAGUACAAAUAUGAAAAGAGAUAAUGGGUCAGAAAAGGCAACAAGUCACACAGGAACAAACUGCUAUAGUUUCCUGCUUUGGUGCUUGGCACAGUGGAUUCCUCUAGGCAGAACCAUCUGCUACAAAACCACACCCAGAAUUUUCUUGUGAAGUUUUUGAUAGUCUUAGUAAAGCAGAGAGGUUACUUGCUGGAAGUUCUGUACAGUCUUAACAGUACCAGGCAUUUGGACAGCUGCAGAAGCUGAUUUUUACUAUUAAACUGGCUCAAAAAAGCAGUUGCAUGAGUAGGUACUCAUGCUACAUGUGGAGGUGAGGGUCGGGAUCCUACAAGUGCUCAAGGCCACACAGCUAUCUCCCAUAGCUGAGAUGGAUUUAUAUACUUUAUUUCCUAUAUGGAGAAGAGCUUUUUGCCAAAGAAUUGACAUGUUUUCCUGGGUUCCCUUUGAAGCAAAGCUCUGAAAAUCUGUCAGCCGAUUUGACAGGUGGUUCACAGAAAAGCAGUGCUUGAGAACACAUCUGUCCCAACCCAAAGCUGCUGUUUGUCAUUGCUAUCACACAUAUCAGCAGGUAGCCAAGAUCUCGAGGUGCAUCCAAUUCAAUACCCAGUACACCUGACAGGACCAUAUCAAGUAUGGAAAGAUGCAAAGCUUUUGAGCUCACCAGAGACUUUCUAUGCCUGUCAUUAGGACCUACAGAUGACUUCUCUUCUGCGUAGUGCUAAAAAAAUCACCUCACAGUUUCUCUGUGAGGCAGUGAAAGAACUGGAAAGGCUUGAGCGCUGCCUUUAGGCUGAGUUGCACCCAUGCGAGCAGAAACAACAAUGGAUGUGUUUUGGAGCCAAUUUAGCUUUUGCUGUAAACAUAAAUAGGUACACAGACUCUGAUUUGAGAAGGAAGAGCUGUCUUAAGUCAUUACAUUCAAAUUACCAUUGUUUUCCCGGAGAGAAAGGUACACAGAAAUCUAAUCGUGGACUACAUCUGUAGGUGCUUAAAUAUCCACACAAAUAAGUUUCAGGCUUGAGACAGAUCUGGAGUCAAUUGGAUCUGGCUCCUAAGUGCCGAGUCUUUUGUGAUAACUGAAUGUGAACUCCCACGCCACACAGGGGCUUUUGGAAAUUCUACUGCCUGCAGAAGGUCACUGGUACCACGCAGGAAGAGGCCAAGCACUUCCAUUAAGUAGUAGGAAAUCUAUACAAGGAUCUACCUUCUGUAGAUCUGAUUUGUAUUUGUCUCAGGUUUUAUGCUCUCUCCUAUUACUGGUGUCUUAGGCUGCUUUAUAGAGCACAAAACCAGUGUCAGCCAGGGUGUUGCUGCAUAGGUGCUUGUAAACAGGGGCCACAGCAGAGCUUGUUGCAUUUGCAAAUUCUUUCUCUUUAUCGUGGGAGACUUUAUCCAGUAGGAAAGGUUUGCAGAAUUCUGAUCUGUGAACUGUGAGUGCUGACAUCAGAGGCAAGGGAGUAAUUUUGAAAGGUCAGUGAAGUGCAAGGUACAAGUGUGGUGGCAGCCUCUCUCGAUCAGCUGAGACAUCUGUGCCCUGACUUGUGUCACCCGUUAAUGCCAGCAUCGUAAGGGGUGUGGGGGCCUGCCAGAGACCUGCUAAAAUGUUUCCUCUGCAGAACAGAUAGGCACAGCUAAGUCUAUGUGAAGGCCCGGGAGAGCCGAUGGGAAACACAGACACAGCAAUAUUAAAUAGAUUCUUGUCUAAGAACAGAUUGCAAUUUUCAGCCAAUAAAUUUUUAAUAGUAUCUAUGUAACUAAAUAGAAACAUUGGCUUGCAGACAAAGGGCUCUUAAGAUUAAUUAUUGAUCUCUUCUUGAUGUUUUGAGAGAUGCUUCUCAUAGAUGACACUUAAAGCAUGUUUCUUAGGAGCAACGUUAAGCCUUUGCACAGGGCUGGCAUCAGUCAUGCAAGCCCUUCCCUUUGUAGUACUCAUCUCAUGCUGGCCUUCUCCAUGGCAUGACAAGUUACCAUCAUGCCUUCAGUGUCACCACUGAACUUAUUAUUCAGUGUAGUACUAUGUAUGUAGGACAUUCCCGACUUGGUGCCAGAGAGAAGUCCCAAGUAUGUUUAACUUUCUGAUGUGCCACCACAGCCUUGGAGCCUAGCCAUACAACAGCAUCUAAAGCAACGGCCCUGCCUCAUGGACCCUCUCCUUACAGUCUGCAGCUAAGGCAGGGAAUAUCUGGCAGAAACAGGUAUCAGAGAAGAAGGAGCAGUAAGACACAGUAUCGUGACACUUGUGUCACCUGGUCAUUGUCAGAAGCUGGAGGAAGCAGAGAGGCAAACAGUGAAUAUUUAGUAUAUGUCACCUAAAUUCAAGACAGACAAGAGAACUAGUUUUUGAUGCUAAUCAUACUACAGACUGAUUAACUGUAUGAAAGUUUAUUACUUUGCUGCAUUUAUUACUCUAUGUUCCUCCCUCUUACUGGGCAGUUUGAGUUUCAGAAAUAAUCUCUCUCACAUUUCAACCACCGAUGCUUUCAAAACACCAUUGCUCUUGCAUCUGAAGUUUCUCCCCACCUGUGUCCCCUCUUCCCUGUGCUCCUGCCUGGAGAAGGUUCCUCAACGGUGCCCAAACGUACCAAAGGGGGGUGUGUGCUCCGCCUUUGUUGAGCAGACGCUCUCCUCAUGUGCCCAUCUGCCGUAGGUGGCUGAGUAGAUGAUAAGGAACUUGGAUUCCUGACAGUGGAGCUUCAGUUCCUGGUUUUCACAUGCUGAUUUGGUUUUGUAUUCAGCUAAAGUAGAAGCAAACAGCAAUAAUAGCAUGAGGCAAUUUAUUUAGCUGCACUGUUAAUAGCAAAUAGCAGCAGGACAGAAACCAGCUUUCCUGCAAAUGCUGUUGCAAGUGACAUGUGGCACCUGUACAGCCAGACACAGAGUCAAGAGCAGAGUGCUUCUCCCAAAUGAGUUGCUCCCAAGUGACUAUCUAGAGCCUGUGGCUGCUUGUUGAACAGAAUAAAAAACCCUAACUUUUGCCAAUCUCCUCUCCCAGUGGAACAGCCUCCUUGGUUUCCUGGCUUGCUUUCCUGCUCAGUAAGAGAAGCUUCAUCUUUCCCUUUUGUCUCUCCUCAGGACACUGUUGCAUUCUACGCGUGUCUCAGCUGCCUCUGCACACUCAUCAAUCACGGGCAGGGCUGGCACUGCUCAGUGACAGCACUGGGGGAGAGGGACAGACAAUGGGAGGACAAAGGCCAGGAUGGGGUUCCCAUCCCAAGGCAGACAGUGCUCUCAGCUGUAUUUGCAUGGCUCCACCCAGGUCAGUUGGUUUCUCUGGGCGGCACCUUCAAGCAGGGGCUCAUUUGAAAGUUUGGCUGGCAAAGUGAUGUGAAUUAGGACCCUGAGAAAAAUCCCCCCCUCCCUUGCUCAGCUGGCACAGGCACCCUUGGGAGCACCCUCAGCAGAGGUGGGGAAGGCACUUAGCUCAUCUUCAUGGCUUAUCGCUCCUAGGGAAACCCUUUAAAUCUGCUACCUGGCCAAGAAGGCUCUUCCUGGCCUAAGCAGCCACUCUGUCCGUGACAUUUUACCUUCUUGAGUCUUCCUGGUUGAGCUGUGUUGCCAAACCUUUUUAUGGCAGAUAAAGCCAGGGAGAAGAGUUUAUUCUCCUCCAAUUUUUUUUGUCCUCAAAACUGUGGAAACAGGAAAAGGAGAUUCCUGAGCUGAGCAGAAGAAAAGGGAGACCUUUUGUUAGCAAGUGAUGUCCCUGUGAGUGGAGGGUGGAUGCUGGUUCUUGGGGAACUGGAGAGAGAAAAACCUCCUAUCUACUCAACAUUAUUGUUUCAUCCAAAACAGAACAGAUAAAACAAUGGGUUAAUGUUCUUGGUAACAGUCCCGUUUCUUCCGUUUGAGCUCAUCAACAGCUACAAGCUUAAGUCUAAAAAAGAGUGAUUUUGAGAAAUACUUGACCUGCUGCAGGUUGUGACUUCUGCAGAAGCACCUGCCGUACUGUGCACCAAUAAAUAGGUCGAAAACCUGGGGUCUCUGCCCAAGGACUGACAGCCUAAAGCUGAGCUCUGAGUCUGGCUGUGCUGGAGGGGCUGUGGAAGUACGUAUAACCCCAAGUGGUAUCAGAAAAGGAGAAGAGCCCAAGAUAAACCUCUGCAGGGAUACGGCAACAAUAAUUGUAAAUAGAUGAAAAGCUAAGGGAUUUAGGCAAUUGCUUAAGUGCCCACUUGAAGGAAAGGAGACUGCAAAAUAUAUUUGAAGUUAUCCUGAAGUGAUUUCCUGAGUAAGGAUGUUUUCCACUGCCAAGACUAACAAUAUUGGUAUCUUACCUACAAAUAUAAAUUUCCUGUCACAAGAAAUCAUGUAAUUUGCCCUGGAAUUGGACUAUUUCUCAAUCCUGAAGGCAGCACAUGCUGCUAAAUAUGCUUUUGACCAGCUUUUUAAGAAUUCAAAUCACAGAAAAUACUAUAUACUCAAAGAAGCUCAUCUCCCAUGGAAAAAAAUAUUAAGCAGCUUCCAAAAGUAAUAAACAAUCCAAAUUCGCUUUUGAUUAGUAAAAAGAGAUUUCUAAUGACGCAGACGCUGCUAUGACAUUCAAAUCCACCUACUAUUAAUAAUGGACUAAUUGCAAUAUGCAAAAUGACUUAAACUAUUGAUAUAAUAAAACAGAUCAUGAAAUUUUUCAAUUUCAGGCUUUUUUUUCCCUAACGAUUGGCCCUGUGUAUCUCCCUGGGAGUUUCUGAGUCAGUGCUUUGCCAAAGGUAACAUCUGCCUACUCCACUCCAUCUUUCUGCUGACUUCCACUUUCCAGUGUGAGAUUGCCCUUCAGUUCACUUGCCACCUACUCCUGUUCUACCACUGAUGUAUAUCUUAGUGCUCUGAUCAAAGAAAACCCCCUUAGUGCUUUCUCCUUUGCUCAUGGGUUGGUAUUUCUGAGUUGGCUGGUGAACUUACCCAUAAAUCAUCGUUCAGCUGUUUUCUCUGGGACCCAUUUCAGCCACUCUGGGGAUUCACUGCCAGACAAUCUGAGCCCCCAGGCUACUGGAGCUUGUUCUCAUAUACCAUAGCAACAAGGAGAACGAUUAAAAACCACCAAUGAAGGAAACCUCAUGAGGAUUGUCUUAAUCGUUCUUCCGUUUUCUCAUGUUUACAAAGUGGAUUCUCUUUGAGGUAAGAUUUGUUCCUUCACAUACCAGCAUCGAAUACCUGCACAGAGCACAGGUGAUUCUACAAUAAAAGCCUCUAACCAAGUCAGCACAUGUAUCUUCUGGCCAUUAUUCCCUAAGCGGGAGGUAUUUUUGAAUCUUUGAAAGCUUUAGGCCCAGCUCCUUAAGUAUUUUUGCAUAUUCCUUCCUAGGAUACCUUCUUCAUCAUUUUGAUCCUUAGCCCAAGCAUCUGGUUUUGCUGUUCAGCUCUUUCUAAUACGACAUUAUCAUUGCAAUCUCACUAAAAAUAAUUUCCAAAACAUUUUUCCUUUCUAGUCUGAUGUCUGACACCUGCCCCUGCCAAACUACGCUGGUCAUUAAAUUGGCAGCCAGCACCCUGAAGCUGCAAACACAAUGGAGAGCUAAGCUCCAGCUGUGCAUCUGGAUAACGAAAAUCAGGUUCCCUAUCAGUUAUUAAGUCUGGAGGAAGGAGAAGCCUGCUCCAUUGUUACCUAUGUCCAGAGCCCAGGGGAGGACAGGAGUCAGGCGGAUGCACCUUCCAGCACAGCAGAGCUGUAGGCGAGUUCCCCACCUCAGUGACCUCAGUCUGAGCACUGGCACUGGAGCUGGGACGGGAAGAAGUUUCAUGCCUUGCAUUUGCAGUCUGGAUCUCAAGGAGACCAGUCCAGCAGCAAUCCCCACGGCUUCUCACAGGUUAAAAAGAAUAACCAAACCCACUACCAAAUCCAUCCCCUGCAUUUUCUGUGUAAUUGAGAUCACAAAUAAUUGAAGUUCCCUGCCGGAGCCCCUCCUCUCUCAGCCUGUUCCUGAGACAUGCUGAGUGCUGCCAGAAAAAUGGGCCGGAUGCCCAGUUGCACCCAAGUGACUUUGCUAUGGCCAGUGCUGCAGAGGGGCCUCCUGUGGCAUUUGCUGAACGCCUUGCCAUCACCAUCGUGGCAUAAAGGGCCACAGUGUCAGAGUAUUCAGCCCUACAUGAGUUGUGGGCACUCAACACCCUCAAAGAUAGGACCCACUGUUUCUAAUCAUUUCAGUUCUUCAGGUUUUAAGUUACGUGGGGCCAAGAGUGCUGUAUACAAAACAGUCCAGUAUUCCCUAAAGAAUAUCAGCUAUGCUGCGAUUUGGAUGAGUUCCCUGGCAUCUUAACUGCUACUUUGAUCCUGCAAAUUCCUAAUCCAGCAUCUAAGCACCUUUCUUCAACAAUUGCAACUAUUCAAUCCUUUAAAAAAAUGUCUUUAUAAAAAGCUUGCUCUGGUUCUGUACGAGCAAUAUGGUUCACUUGUAAAAAUGAUAUUAAAUGGACUGGUGAAAAGAAGACAUCUUGCUCUCCAGCCUUCCAAGCAGCUUAAACAUGACUCUGCUGUUACUAAAAUCCUUGUGUAUUUGCACACAAUAAAGGAUAAAAAUAGUAAUGGAAAUUGCUGAAACCUAAUGUUCUCUGAUAACAGGAGUGGUGACGUAGUAUCUAAAUUGCUCAUCUCACAUGGUAGACCAUGUAAACCUGCAUUUUUCAUUACUGCACACGCAGACACACGUGGAGCAGUCAGUCCUUUGCAGCUCACAGCCCAUGCUGAGGAAGGAUUCCCACUCCAAAAGUCAUAAUUUCCUCUUAUCCUUCUCUGAAGAACUCCAGGUUCUUUCCUGUCCUCAUGCUGGCCCUCUCCUCGUAAUGGGGCACUGCCUGCCCUGCACUCAGCAGUUUUCUCAGCAGCUGCUGCUUCUCCUCCUUUCCUGAGCAGUAUGGCCUUGUAGUCACCCUGGUAGAAGCUUCACCUUCUUGAGACCAUGAGUAUCUCUCUGUUGUGUACUGACUUCUGUCCAGAAACACGUUUUCCCAGAUGGAGCAAGUUCAGCCAAACAACAGUGUAAAGUUGGGGGAAAAUCCAGUGUGAUCUCUAAAAGUAAUGACAGCCAUAGUGAUCAGGAGUGAGGGCAUCGUGAGGGUUGGACUCUUCCUGGGGCAGCUUCCUGUCUUUUCCUUUUGUGUUUACUUCAUCAGUAUCUGUUAGUUGUGAAUUUGGGGAAAACAUUUUUUUAGUGUCUAAAUAUGGGAGCUGGAGGCUGUUCCUGGACUACAGCAGACCUCCAAGUCCUGGUCCCCUGCCUGUCAGGGAAGUCCUCGCUAGCUCCUUGAUGGCCAAGGCAAUUCCCUUUCCCUGAAGAGCAGGGCAGAGGGAUGGCUGGAGCACAGCCAGCAUGGAUGGAGUGAGGUCACGGUUCUGUGUGCACUUGGGCUGGGCAAUCAGAAGACUUGUGAGUUAAUGGGGUUUCUUACCUGAGCAAGGAGAAUCAUAACCAGACCCUAUAAAAACCUUAGAUGACUUAAUGUUUUAAACCUAAUGUUGUUUUUCUUCCAUUGUGUUCUGGGUUGGGUAAUGGAGGGGGAGAUGGUGUCCAGCUGCAGCAGUCACUUUUCCAAGUGUCAUUCUGCAAUGAGGAGGACUAUAACGUUCCUCUUUUUCCAGAAAUAAUAAAUAUCACUCUUUAAAACAAUAUGAAACUAUAUCAAAAAAGUUAACUACCAUGAGAAUUGUCUAAAUUAGAAAACCUUGGCAAUACUGCCGUGUCUCAACAACAUCUCUACACCUCUGUGUGAAAGCCCCACUAGGCACUUUCCCAUUUAUCUAGGGCACACAUUCAUAAGCAAUGUAUGGGGUGCUCUGCAUAUAGAAUCAUGUAUGAGAUGUUAGAGACUGGCUCAGAAGUUAAGCCUAAAGCACACAGGAACAAAAAGAUCCCAUUGAUUUGGAGGCCAGAAGGUAUCAUCCCACCCAACUGUCUGCCUAACCCAGACUACUCACUCAUUGUAAUCUUUUACUGAGACUCAAAACACCAGUGCAGAAUCCAAGCAUAAUCCUUUCUUCCAGAAUUAGCCAAAUUAGUCACAGCAUCCACUCUGUUGACAAAGAACUUCAGCUAAAAAAACCAUAGCACCAGAGAACCACACAAAACACUGAGGCUGAGCAGCUGAACAAAGCUUUGAGCCUUAGUUUUUAUUGAAAAGGAGGACUGAUAAACGAUAAAAAAAAUUACUGACAAAAAUAACUGGCAUAGGAGAAUAAACAGAUACUUCUUUGUGUGAAAAAUAACUCUUUAAGAGGUUAUAGCAUCUCAUAUGUAACCACUUGCUCCUGGCAUAAUCACUUUGAAUAGCAGCAAUAAGGGUAACAGUGGACCUGAAGGUACAGAAAUCCAGAAAGAAUUUUUUUUCACUCAAAACCUCUGAAAAUCUGGGAACUUGGAAAGUUCUGUAUAUGUUCAGUUCAGCUUGUCUGCCCUGGCACGAGGUCCCCAGAUGGAAGGAUCAAGGAGAAGAGCAUUUCAGGCUGUGAGCCCAAUGCCCAGCACACACUAAAAGCAAUCUCAGCAUUGGCUCAGGUAAUGUCUUUUGGGUAAGAGAGCGGGUUUGCAAUGCAGUAUUUUUAGAGGCUGAGGCUGCGUAGUCCACAAGCUAUGAGGGUCCUCAGAAUUGGGCCUUCAUACACAGAUUUAGUAACAUCAGUUCCUGUGCAUUGUUCAAUUUGGUUUAAUUAGCAUAGAAAUUUGCUGGAUCACUUUAAAGACAUACCAAUCUAUUUUAGAUCAAAAUAAAUCCAAAUAGCACGCGUAUUGUUGUGAGAGUCCCAAAAGGCUAGUCCAUCUGGUAAAUCUCCAUCAGCUCCCACAGUGAUGUGAAGAAUUGUGCCAACACUCAUUAAAAAUACACAAGCCAGAUUGGUGAGUUUGAAGGAAGAGAUUUCAUGCAGUGAUAACAGAAUUGUUAAUAAACUCUACUACAAACACCAUUAGAAGCACAACUCUGAUAUUGAUUGGUGUUGGGGAUCCAGCUGCAGUACUUCUCCAGCAAUAUUUUCUCCGUUGUUUUGUGAAGGAAGCAUUGAGAAAUUAACUGCUGAGUUUCGAUCCCCAUCCCAUCUGCCAUACCCUCUGGUGGUCUCCAGAGGCAGCUAUGCCACAGAUCAUGCUGUGCCAGAGUUACUCUGUCCACAGGGACUAGGAUCUGCCUCUUCACCUUGGCUGUCUGCAAAUUCUGCCUGUGGCAGCUGGUUUUUAGGACUAGUAAUCGCGGAGGGCAAAAUGUUACCCAGGAAAGACACUGUUUCUAAAAUUCAUGACACUAUGUUACUUGCUUCAUCAUUUUAUUCUUUUUUAUCUAAGUGCCUUGUAAACAUCCUGUUUGACUCAUUCUAGCCACACUCCAUGUCUUUGAUCAGUAAGAAAUACACUUAGGCAGAAGCAUUGUUUAUUCUUUUUGCUGUUCAGAAAUAAGCACAACAGUUUUACCCAGCAGAUGCACAUUAAAAUCUGUAACUCCUUAAUAUAUGCUUUCUUGCAUAGUCACCAAUCUGAUUUAAUUUCCCUCCAUGGCUUGUUUUUUUUAGCGUGCUGUUUUCCACUGUUCCUCUCAACCCUUGCUCUCUUUGCUAGUGACUACCAUCCUACCGACUUCAACCUUUCACUUGUACUGCAGAGACAGCAUAAAAGGUUGGUUUUCUGUGCAAGGAAAAUGUUUUUCAUAUCAUCACUCUAUUUUUUGUAUAAUCUAAGUCUUUUUUAUGCGAGGAUAGCUGUUUACUUGGAAAAACUAGGGAUCAUCUAGUUUCUCUAAUAAGAUAGUGACCACAAAACCCCAUUCCAUUUCCAAAUGCCUUCUUUGGUUUCAGAGCACCCAAAGCUGUUGCUUUUCUUCUUCUUUUUCAGUCCUUGAGAGUUGUCAGUUGCCCAUUUCUAAAGGAGAUGAAGCUUAUGAGAUCCUGACCUCUGUCCAUCUGCAUUCCCUUAUUCAAUUCAACACCUUUUAAGUUUAAUGGCCAGUUUCAAACCUGAAGGGUGUGGGGCUCGAAGAAAUAAAGUUCCUACAAGUUUCAUGGAAAUUGAAGCCUGAGCUGCCACUUUCAACUCAGUCUCAAUGACUAAUGCUGCAAGUGAAUUGGCAGCUGGAGAGACAGGAUGGUUAUCCUGGAGAGCCAUCAGCCUGAUGCCAAUGCAGCAAUUUGUUACCACUGGCCUUACUGAGAGACAAAGGAUUAACUCUGAAAGAAAAUGCUUCAGUUAGUAGUGAGGAUGCUUUUGGGAUAGUAUGGCAAUCAAAGCAGUGAUUGAGACAUCGGUCAGGUUUUUCAUGAACUGCUUUAUCCACAUAUAUGCUUUCCUGAGGAGGUUGCCUUCAUUUUUUUCCCCUCAUGGAUCAUAACAUGAAUCAUAACUGUCUUACUGAAUCUAAUUAUCGCUGUGUCUUAAAUCUGAGGGUCAAAUUAAGCAAGAGUUUGGUUCAACCUAAGCCAGAGAGAAGGCCAGGUAACCAGCAGAUAACUCAACGCAAAACCUCAUUCACGCCCAGUUUAAGCAGGGUUUCUUCAGAGAGCAGCAGCACACACAGGAAGCCAAGUCGUGGACUCUUCCUAGAAAAACAAAGCCAAUGAAUAAAAGAACAGGCCUGUAACUUUUUGGUUACAGUUUCUCCAGGAAGCACACAACCUCUUCCUCCCUGUGCUACUCGGCUCAGACUUGCAGUUAAGUGAGUUACAUUUUUGCGGAGUGGGAAAGCCCAUGAAUCCUGCACUCACACACCACAUGCCUGUUCUCUGUUCCUCACAUCCUCCCACGGGCGUUCUCUGUCCUUCAGAUCUACGCUUCCACACUCCCUUGUGUUGUCUCCUAGGAGUGAUGCCUGGUUUAUUGUAUCCCAAUGGCUUUCUGAGGAAACUGGAGAGAUCCCUAUGCACUACUGUUUGCUCACUCGCUUUCUGUUUUUAUUUCCUUCUUGUGUCAGGAAGAGGCAAGUUGUUCUUGAUCCCUGAAAUCUUGGGUCUGCAGUAAACACCACCCUACAGUCAGUUAUGCUUUCUCUCAGCUGUUCCAUGAAGUUAGAAGGGCAAACAUGUGUCCCAGGACCUAAUAUGGAACUACUGCAGUAGAAAAGGAAGAUUUUCUCCAUCCCAUCUAAAGAAGCUGACAAGAGGCAUGGGUUACGGGUGACUUUAAGGCUCUUUUCUGCCCUUGCCAAAAAUCCUCCGUUUAACUGGAGACAGAGUACCCUCUUCUAGUGCCAUUAACAAGAAGUAACAAGAGAAAGGCUCUGUGGGCAGCAACUGUUUCUGGAGACCGAAUGAGAGACUCUUUAUGCCCUAAGACAAAACACUUGUAAUGUUCCCAAAGACUGCAAGUAGGAGAACCCUGGUGACUAGAGGAAAAUAUUUCCCUGAAAACUCAAAUUUAUGAACAUGAACCUCCAUGUUCGUGUUCCCCAAGAGAGCCAGGGGGCUGUUCAUUGCCAACUCAGAAAACAAAACACAGGUUUUGUUUUUCAAACAGAACUUUGACUCAAACUCUGUUGUUUUGGUUUUUUUUUUGUAAGCCCACUUAUAUUUGACAUUCAGAAAACAAUCAGAAAAUCUGAGAAAAUCUGAAAAAAUCAGUAAAAAUCAGAAAUCUGGCAGCUCACAUCUGCAGUGCUAUGAUUGUUUAUAGUACAGUAAGUCCAAGCUAGAAAAGCACAAAUACACUCCCCACUUCACUCUCAGCGCUUGAUGAUUUUCUUUACAACAACAUUUCUUUGUCUUCAACUCAGUUCUAGCCUGAAGAAAUGAAAAGUCAAAAAACUGCAAAAUUAUUCUGAAAGAAUAAUUCUUGUCUUCCCAUCCAAGAUUAAAUACAAUGAAGAAAAAUAAACAGAUAUUUGUGGGUUGAGACCCUCAUCCAAAGCCCAGUGAAAUCCUUGGGAAUCCUUCCAGUGACCAUAGGCUUUCAAUUAGGUCUUAUAUAGUGAGUGAUGUUUUAAAAUUAAUUCUAAAUUAAGAGCCAAACCUCACUGGUAUUUAAUUUGUUGCCAGAAGCCACACAAUAGACCUUUGAAGCAAAACUCUUAAAAUGCCUAGAAAUUCAGAUUAAAUGACUCACCAAUGUUGGACAAAUAAGGCCCAACCACGCCUCCUUCUGCUCUUCGGCUCCCUUAAGACACUAUUUUCUCUGUGUUGGGUAAUAUAUCAAAAUAUUUCAAUUUUAGUUGUAGAUUAUGGCUGGCAGAUGACAGAAUUCUGGUAAGUGGUGACUGAUCAGACAGUGCCUUCUCUGUCUGGGGACACUUCCAACAAAAGCUGAGUAUUUAUUUGGAACAAGUCUGUAACCCCUUUCUCUAAUAAAGUUGAGACUGGAAGCUCUGCCUUACUGGGAAGGAUAGCAGCAGCAGAUGGAACAGGAAGGCAGGGGGGAGCUAAUCCCUGCUAUUUAUUUUGAAUAAAAAUAGCAUAUGGUGUGUCAGGUGCCAGCACUCUGCCCAGAGCGAACAGAGAGAGUUCUGCCCCAAACUUCCUGCCCCAAAGCUGUGAGAAUCUGACAGACUCAAACAUGGUGGUCUCUGAGUGGUGGAGCUCAGGGACUCAAGUUUUGUGUCUCGUGUUUGAAUUCCCCAACAAAUGUAGGGGCAAGAGCGUCACGCUACCCCUUAACUCAUUUCGGGAGAGCUUUGGGGGCAGCAUCCCUUCUUGGGGAUAUGAAGACCUAGCUUACUGUAACUGUAAAGGUCUCACAAAAUCUGUAAGAACUUGACAGGAGCAAAGCUUUUACUUCUCUAACAAGGAUAACUAAAUCUCAUCAGAGGAUUUAACAAAAAAAUAUUAACACAUCUAAAAUGUGGUUUCAUAAGUCAAACUUCCUCAGAAAGGCAAAAAGAGCUGCAGGGACCGGCCUGAAACAAAACCUUGGGUCUCAGCACCAUGAUCUAAGCUAAAAUCUCAGUUCUGACACACGCCUCUUUGUUCCACAGAACAAAUCCCAGACCAGAGCCCUCUUCACUCACAGAAACUUUAAACCUGACUUUGAGGUUUAACUCGCAUAUUACUGAAAUGAAACAUAUUUCUAAAAUUAAAUGUUUUUCUUUAAAUAAAGCAAUGAACACUUUCACUUGACUUUUACAAGGCAGUAUAGAGAAGAUGCAUUAUUGCAUCACUCCUGCUAGCACUUCUUUAAAUAUCCUGGUUGAAGGACAUGCUGCAAUUGCCACAGUGAGUCGAAAGAACUGACUCAAGGAAAUUUAUAUAGGCUUUUAUCUCGCCAACACAAGGCCAACAAAAAAACCUCUGCAUCAUUGUGGUUGGUAGUGAUUGAUCCUGCCACGUUACUACAAACAAAGCAUUUGCUCAAAGCGUUUGUUUGCUUUCCGUUUACCUGGGGGAAUCUGGGAUGGGUGAAUGCCACAGAACUUAAUGGAAACUUUUAAUGCAGAAAGGUCACAGGAGCAGAUUAUAUUUCUUGGGUGAACUGGUUUGCUUUUUCAUUAGAUCCACUUGUUUCUAUGGUUGGGUCAGGGGACCAAGUCUAUGGAGUUAAGGUGAUGCACAGUUCUGUCUGAACUGUUUUGGAAGAAAAGACAGAAAAGUUGACACCAGAGAACAGAGAUUAAAAGGUUCUCCCUAAGCAGCGGCUGCUUUCUGUUCACAUCCAGAAAGUCAUUCCUCACCCCAGUUAUGCAAUCACAAUUACUUCAUUUUUAAUCUUCAGUUAUAGCCACAUUUCUUGGAAGCUGCCCAGAAAACCUGGCUGGGACUCAGGUAAAGAAAGGAAGACUGACUGGUGGGUGAGCCAAGGAGGUGCGGUCAAGCCUGAGCUCAGAGCAGCAAGGAGAACAGAAAAAGAAGGAAGCAUAAAAAAAGGGUGAAUGAGUGUUCCUCAGUGUUGCCAGAGAGAAGGAGUUUGUUCCCAGAUGGAUAAGGGGUCAGUUCACUUUGUCAACAGACAGGGAAGAGGUGGGAGGAGCCAUGGGGAGAGGAUGGAGAGCUGAGGCCUUUUCCCUCCGCCAGCAUGGAGAGCAAGAGGAUGAGAGGAGAUGAGGAGCAGUGAUCCCUGCUGUGGGGAAGGUACCCUCAAAAUGCCACCAUCCCCAGCCAAGCCAGCUCUCCCUCAGCAGCUGGGCUUUCUAUGGCACCAGAACACCUACAGUGUGAAAUACUGUAAAGAAGUUUGCUGAUUUUGCCAGCUCUUAUUUCACCUGUUUUGAGAACCAGUCCUUGAACAUAGAGGAGUUGUGAGGAAAUGGCUGUCAUGAGGCCCUGAUGUCCUGAAAAACAGCCCUUCUGACAGUCUCCUGGGAGCCCAGAGUAUUCAGGAUUUUAGUUCCCAGAGACUGGAGAACUAGCAAAAUUCACAGCAGCCCCCUGGAACGGGACCUGAUCCAAAACGUGAAAGCUGCAAGUGAUCACUGAGAAGAUAAAGAUAUAUUUUAGUUAAAAGGUGUGUUUUGAAGAAUGGGCAUGAGGGGAAGAAAAUUCUCUAGUUGUAGGAUCACUCUUAUAUUCGUGAAGAUCUAAGGAAAGGACUGUGGAUUAAAUCUCUCUUCUUCCAAAACUUUCAGCUUUCAGUUUAAAUUUGGGCAAGAAUACUUGGAUUCCACUUUGAAAAAUUAAUUACACAGAGGACUGCAGACCUCAGAGCACACCUCCGCUUUCAGUAACCAAUGAAACUAAUAGAUUCAUAGAAUCAUUAAGAUUGGAAAAGACCUGCAAGAUCAUCAAGUCCAACCUUUGAAUUUCUUGUCCAAACUUCUAGAGAAACAUAGAUUAUGCAGAUUUUUAUCGUAUCAACAUUACUUCCAAUAAGAGACACGAUUGAGUUGUUCUCACAGAGCUGGAUUUUGAACUGCUGGUGGUGUCUUUAUUUCAGAACAUUUUUCUUCCCUAGCAAAUACCAAUCCACAAAAUGUUACUGCACAGUGAAGAAAUGCCUCUCUAAAAAAAAAAAAAAAAAUAGAGCAAGAAAUUUUUUUCUCACAGUUAAAAGCUGGACAGAUGAGAGCAAGAACCUGCAGCUCUAGACAGUAGAAAGGAUAUAGACCACAAAUACAAGUCAAACUUAUAAAUAAAGUAAUAAUAACCCUUCACUAUACACUGCUCCCGGCUCCCCUUUCCAAAACAUCAAACAGAUCCCACGAGGGUGCAUCUUUGGGUUGUUACAAGCCAACAGCGAGGUCUGGUGAUGAACAAAUGGGCUCUGAGCAGGGUGGAACUGCUGGCACGAUUUAACACUUGCAUUAAGGGAACAACAGAGAUUACAUGGGCAGGUGUUGGAACCUGGCAGCAGUCUAGGAAGGAACUCUGGAAAGCUGUCAGAAUGGUGGGCAGAGGAGGAGAGAGGAAAAGAGUUUGGGCGUUAGGGGUAGAGGCCUGAUUGCACUUGGCAGCUGCAGGGCACUGCUCCUUUAAACGGGACAGGUUUGUGGCCACAAAUGUUCAGCAGAGUUUAGGAAAAUCGAGUUGCUGUUCCUGCCGAGGGAGGGAGCAAAUAAGGGAAAUGAGCAACUGCACAAACUCAUCUCAAAGCUGCUGUUACGGAGCUUGUAGUUCUUCAACAGUAUUAAACAGCCUGGGGAUGGCACUGCAGGGUGUCGUCUCACCUCUGGCAGCUUUUGAAGCAGUACCUGCUUUUGAAGCAGCUAAAAACUUCUCCCUAUGCUCUGGAUACCUUUUUUUUUAAAGGUUCCAGUAACAUUUUGAUCUCUUCUGUUAUUCUGGAUUAGAUCUCCAUGUUAAAAGUAAAAUGUGAGCAGAAUUUGUUCAGGCCUGGGAACUUCCCAGUCUGGUAAGAACUCUGGAAUCUGCUUUUCUUUUCUACAUCUUAUUUACUGAAAUGUCUGCAUGUCAUGUUUAAUAUUGAUCUCUGGGGUGAGAUAGCUUUUUUUCUCUGAUCAUUUUACCUAUUUGGAAAGCUCAGUGCACAAUGAAUACUGAAGACAGCUGUACGUCUGAAAUUAAUCUUGGAUAACCUUAUCUAAAUAACAUCAUUUGAAAAAUGAACAGACUUUUGUGAGAGGAACUUUCCUAGAUAAGGGAAUAAUUUUUAACUCAGUGGCUAGUUGAAAGGGAAAAUUUCAACAUUUGUUUUAUGUUAUUGUGGAGAACCACCAUGUGAUUCCAAAACUAACAUCCCAAACCAGCAGUUAAGCAAAAAAAACCACCAAAGAAUGAGACAGCAAGCAUUUAAAAGCCUUUUACAUGUGAAAGGAAUUUAAUAUGAGAAAUGUAGCUUAUCCAAGUACGUAAUUCUGGUCUUUAAAUUUCAUGGCUGCUUGCUUAGAAAUUUUCAGGCUUGUGGAGCCGAACGCAAUUUUAAAAAUUACAAACUGUAUUUUUCUGUUGCUGGGAAAAUAGUUUCUACAGAGCCAUGACCAGCAUUUUGAACUGUAUCACCACGAACUACAUUAAAAUGCAUAACAACA